UAGCUGAGUAACGGGUAUCAGAUAGUCGGGGAACUCGACUAUAGCGUUCUCUCUUGUUUCUUCUUCGAUUUAAAAGCCACAAAGGAGGACAAAAUAUUCCAUAAAAUUGAAUAGAAUAUUAAUUGAAUCUUUUUCUAUCCUUUGAAAUUUGUUUUCGAUAUCAAAAUAAAAUACUAUUGAUUGGUACAUAUAUAAAUGGUAUCAACGAGCCUCGUGAAAAAUCAGCUACAAGUUUACGUAAUUGUUAAAGUAAUUUAUUCAGAUUAAACUUCUUUAAAACAUACUGAGAAACUACGUAUUUCAUUUCAAAAGCUACCUUAAAAAAAUUAUUUUAUAUUAAAAAAAACUAAUAAAAUUAAUAUAAAUACACAAGAAUAAAUAACCCCAUUUGUCCAUAACCCCAUUGUACAUAUUUACGUUAUUGUUAAUUUAAUUUAUUUAGUUUAAACUUUUCUAAAACAUAGUAAGAAACUAUCUAUUUAAAAACUAGAUUAUAUACUAUAUUUUAUAUUUUACAUUUUUAUUUAAAUUUUUAUAUUAAAAAAGAAUCUAUAAAAUUAAUACAAAUACACAAAAAUAAAUGACCCAAUAAAUUUAGGCAGUGGAAAAGGAAGCUCGUGGUUAAAUUAACUCUUUUGCGAACUAUGGCAACCGUUUAUGACAAUCUGAGGUCCUUUCAUGGCAGCUUAAAGCUUCAAGGAUAAAGGAAAAGGAUGGCAAACCCAUUAGGGCGAGCGCUUUGAAAAGGGUCCUUUUUUUGUGUUAGCCAGCAGUAGACGCAGUAGAACAAGAAUAAACGAGCGGCUAGUCGCUGGCAAUUUCGCUGGAUACAAGUUCAAGCGCAGUUGGCGCUACAAAAUUGCCAAUGGUCAGGUCAACUAACCGAAUCGUUAGGACGACGCGUAAUGAAAAUUAAUGCUGACGAGAUCCCCGUAAAUUGCCAGGAACACUGGAGAAGCCCCAGGAGCGAACUGAACAGAGAGUGAAAGUCGAAAUUAGUUGGGAUGGCUGCAGCGGCGAAAACCAGGGAAAAAGUUUUGGGCCAAAAAUGUAACGAACCGUAAAGUGAUUCAACCUUGAGGCUUCAACGAGGAUGUAGAGAAUGUGGUGGCUGUCGUGCUAUGUGCGUAUAUCUUCCUCUUUUUACCACUUAUUACCAUCUAUCUUGAUGAAUAAAUUACACGGGAAUGAAUUAAAAAUGAAACAAGUCACCACCGGAAUUCAGGACUAUGUGGUAUCCUGUAAACCGGGAAAACGUAACUGUUUCUUAAACAUAAAAAACUCGUUUUGCGUUAGAACAUUAGCUUGUAAAAUGUUUUCCAUUCCAUAAAAUAAAAAACAUAAAUUUGCUACUGCGAAUGGGUAUUGAAUGUUCGAUUAAUUUUUUUUAGUAUCUUUCUGGGAACUUUCCGGCAGCUUCGCUCCUUCUUAUUAUUAUUAUAAGCUUGGGGUUUUGGGGCGCGCGUAUCUUUUGGAAAUUAGGAGGCGGCUCCAAGACAGGUCAUAAAAAAUCAAGUCCAAAUACACUUCUUCCUAUCGUCGAGAUCUCUAUAGAAGCUCCCUCUCAUCUCCCGUUUUCCCUCUAAACUUUUUUACAAUCUAGGCCCAGACAUCCUAUACCCCAGCUUUGGUUGAUUUAACUUGAAACCCGCCUCAUUUGUAUUAAGUUUUACCCGCUGCGGUUUUGGGUGCCUGAGAGGAAAUGCCAGUCGUGGAAAAAGUUUAUUUUUUUGCACAACCAAAAAUACUUGGAGAUGAAGCUACUUGAUCAAAUAAUCUCAUUUGAUGAUGAGUUUAACAACCCCCUAACAAACCUUAAAACGCAGACAGCUGGGUAGGGAAAAAUUUCCGAAGUUUUCAUUCUAUUUCCCACUUUAGAGGAUUUGUGUUACAUUUUGUUCUAGCAAAAAGUUUGAACUCACAUAUAAACUGAACCCCCCCACUCCCCUUUUUGUCUCACAUUCUGUUUUGAUUUUGAUAUUUUGUUGUACUUGAAAUUGGUUUGCCAUUCCAUUUGAUUUCGUAAAUUUGUUCCCUUGGAGGCUGGCGAUAUCAAAAGUUUGGUUGCGCAACUUUCCUAAAGAAGUUAUAAAACAAAUUAAAAUUACAUUUUAAAUGUUUAGUGUGCACAGAAUUUUGGCUGGCACUGUAGGCACGCCGAACAGUCAAAUAUUUCGCCUCACUUUCAGUGCAUUUUUGCUGGCCCUUGGCUUUAACAUUAUUAUGAAAAUUUCAUUUUAAUUGUACCAAAGCAGUGGAAAAUUGUUGUUUCGCUCUUGGCAUUUGUACGUUUUGGUUUUCUUGGCUGCGCUUGUUCUGCCUCCUGUUUACUUUGUUUUUGCAUCAGUUUGCAUAAAGCAUUAUGUUUAACUGCAUCGUGCCACAUGCAACAUGCUACAUGAAACUGACACGAAAAUAGCAGACUCAAUUAAUUAAUAGUUUAUUCCCUUUGGCUGCAUUUUUGGCAGUGGUUUCGCCUAGCUUUUUGUCACGGAGUCGCUUUUGUGUAGUCGCUUUAAUUGAUCAAUCAAUAUUAUAAUCAAAGUAUUCAUUAUUUUAGACAUUCCAUAUUAAAAGCUAUGUAUAAAUUUUGAAAAUAAGAAUCCAUUGUCCAGAAGUCUGGGCUAAUUUUGCUAUUAACCCUUUUGCCAUUUAAUAUCUAGUAUUUUUUAUUAUUUUUUGGAAUGCGCUUACGUCAUGCGUUAUUUCUGCCUGACCCAGAACAGAUGUUAGCCAUUUUUGAUUUUGCACUUCAAUUAGGCGUAACAAUCCGAUUGAUGCGCUUUGUGCAUCUGUAAGGCAUUGCAGCUUAUGGAUGCUUCCCGGGCUUUGUUGCGUAGAUAAACAAAUCGACAAACAAACGGAUUGAGAGCAUUUCAAAAUGCCACUUGACACCAUAUGGUGGCAAUUGCGUCUUGCCACUCGCACUCUCUCUUUCUCGCCGCAUCUAGCUGUCUCUCUCGCUCUCUAGCAUUGCUGAUGCUGUCAGUUUCACACAUUUAAAUGCAGUGAUAACAAGCGACUGCACCACAACAACAACGUACAACAAAUAAAAGUUUCUGGAACUAAACAACAAGAAUAUUAGGCCAGAGUGGCUUUGAAUGUUAAAGCCACAGAACUCAGAAGGCUCAAGUGGCUUAGAAAGGGUGAAUGAGAUGAAGCGGGCCACUCAUGAUGUCAACGCCAUCUGCAGAAUGCCAGAGAAGAGGAAGAAGAGAUGCAUAUUUCAUUAAUUUUGCAUAAAAUCGUACUUAAGAAAUUUCUUUUCAGAUUUUCUUCGUGCACAAGUGGCAAAAUGUUCGCCACUAAGUGUGUUUGGGGGAUGACCGAAAAUUCCCUUAACUUUUCAUCUGGCACUCGAGUUGCAUACCGCACAAUAUGCUGCAAAAAGAUUUUGCCAAAUAAAUUGCAUUGCAACUGGAAACAUUUGCUGAAGUGUUGAGAAAUAUUUUUCAAUUUGAAUUCAAGCUUGCGGUGAAUAUAUGUGGCACAACUCGAAUCGGCAGCAAACUAAUCAAUUGAAUUAGUGAAACAUCUGACAGUGUCGCCAGCAAUCAACGCCACUAAAUUGAAAUGAAUGCCGACGGCACUUGGACACGAACUCUGCGAUUCAUAUUUCUUCGCGUUCUAUGUGGGACUUUGUCAGGUUUGUGCGGUGACAAUGACGUGAGUUCACGUCAUUUGACGGUUAAUGGGGUUUAAGCUAACUAAAGAAAUAUAACAAAAUAAUAUCCGACUGAGUGGUGAAAAAUGCCAGUUACAACAAGAAUUUAAUUAGAAAACAUCAAAACUUUUCAACCAGGAACGUUGAAAUGAUCCCAAAUAGCUUAUUAGCUUUGAUUAGCUUCAUGAAAUGGAAAUUCACAGCCUAUUGUGCACAUAUUUUUAUGAUAGCACAUAUAGCAUAGUCUCGCAUAAACAUAACUAUUUAAUUGAAGCUUGUGUUCAGAAUGCUGUCAUCGUCAUAUUUCAUGAAACCGAAAAACCAGAAUGUGUAUUUCCCCUUUGAGUGUUUGUUUGUUUGUUUUUUUUUUUGACAAAUGUGUUUAAUUAAAAUAAAUUAAACUUUGAUUUCACAGCUCAAAAAAUGUCAGGCAAUUUCAAUUAAAAUCGCCAUGAGGUAUUACAUACAUACAUUCGUAUACAUAUAUCGUAUGUAAGUGCUUGGCAUCUGGGUAAAUCCUAGCAGAGCAAACAAGAAACGAGAGAAAUGAAACGGCCAGCAAACACAAAAAAAAUACAUAUAUAUAGGGGAAGGGACGAACUCCUGGCUGACUGGCAGUCAAGUGCCAAAGGAGGUAACCAGCAAUUGCCUCGAGGUGGUGGCGUCCACUCUACGCCACACCGCAUCGCUCCGCACACCUUGCCCCUUGUCAAAUCGAUAACAAGCGGAAACGGGGUCACUGCACCCAAAACGGGUCCCGGCCAAAAGCAAUCAAAACUCAUUGCCAAAACGGACAAAAAGAAAAAGCUGUACAAAAAACGGUGGAGAAAAGGGCCGGCAGCUGCCUCGUCUCGCUUACAUUUUCAAUGUUGUUUUUCGUGCAACAGCAGCAGGAGCAGCAGAAGCAGCACAAGCAAAAGUAGUAGCAGGCGGAUGGGCAGGACAAAGGAUCGGGAUCCAGAACCUGGUCCCAGACCAGUACCCGCUCCCGGUUCCAGGCAAGUGCUUCAAUUUUCCGGCCUGCCAACUCAGAACAGAGUGAAGCAGCCAGCAGCCACAGGGUGCAUUAUCAACGUUUAACUGCAACGUAUCAUGGUGGAGCCUCGCCACACUUAGCCAUGGCCCCGGAAUUCUGAAUUCCAAACAGGUUCUAACUGCACUUAAUCAAUAUUCGAUUACACCGUUUUGUGCCCACCUCAAAGAUGGUCAGGCCUUGGGUUUUUGGGCCCAAAGCACCCAGAUUGCAGGGCUGAAUGGUCGGCAAGUGCAUGGACUCGUAACAAACAUAUGUAUCUACAGAUUGGCAAUUGAAUCAUGUUUACCACACAUACAUUGAAUAUCUCACAUUCAGCAGGCAGCCGUUUGCCCAUUUUUCCCAUUAGCCUUGCACUUUUCGUCUUGCCGAUUUAACUUCCCUGAUCCGUUGCCCAGCUGGCAAUUACAAUCUUUCCACUUUUCCCAGUCUCCCAACAUCCCAACAUCCCGUUCCAGUUUAACUCGCUCCUUCUUCCUUGGAGACUGCGAAAAAGUCAAAUAACGAGCAGUUUAUUGGCCACAGUCAGUCAUCGUUGCUCUCUGUUGUCCCACAGUGCGUAUGAGUGCUAACUGACUGCUGGCACACGGCGUAUGAGUGCUGUGAACUUUAUUGAGGUCUUUUCCACCUUUCACAGUUGCACUAAGGUGAGUUUGUUAGCUAGGAGAAAGAUCAAUCAUUACAGUUUGGCAAAUCUUCGAGUUAUUGAGAAGCAACUAAAGCGCACUGAUUGGGCAAUUGAGUAAUUUUUAACUAGUUGCAUCUUUGCUCAUUACGUUUAAUAACAUUUGAUUAUUAGCCGUAACCAAAGACUAACCCAAUAGAACCAAUCAAGGCGUCAGCAAUCAUUUUGUUUAUUCGACCAAACCAAUAUCAAUAGUUUCAUUAAUUUAUGUGAACUAAAUUAUCGUCUAUAUUUGCUGUUCAUUAAAUUGCAUUUGUCAGCCAAUUCAAUCGAAUGCAAGUGCCUCUAAUCUCUGGCCAAUGUUUUGUGGUUCGACAAGUAUUUGUUUUUGCGUGUGUGUGUGUGAGUGCUGCGUGUGGUGUUUGCGUGGGUGAUAAUAAAUCACGUAAAGUUUCAAAAUGCUGUCAUGUUUAGUUGGCCAGGGACAGAUAUAACCUUGGACAGACACUAAAGACAUAUGGUUUCGGCCCAGGCAGCAGGACCUUGUUGUUGCGACGUCUCCGCAUGUCUUGCAUGAAAUUUAAAUGAAAUUGUCAGCUUGCAAAUGUGUAACAUGCGGCCAGGCCACAAAUUACGUUCCGUACAAUAGCUGACACAUUCAGGGAUGUGUUCUAUAUAUGUAUUCCUGCGUAUAUUUGCAUUCCCACGCGAACACACACACGCAACUCACGCACAUAUGGUAUUAAACAUAAUUCCUUGGCAGACCAUGACACGAACAUUUGCCGUUGAUCCUAAUUCGGGAUUACUUUACAAUUUCAUUUUAUCACUUGUUUAUGGUUUGCAUAUUGCGAAUUUUCCAUGCUUGGUCGGUUAAAGGUGAGUUUUAAUGAAUUUUCGGAAAAAGUUUAGUUUCAGUUGAUUACACCGCAUAAAUAUAAAUACUUAGAACAUGUCUUUCAAUCCAUGUUAUGGAUUCCUGAAUGAUACAUAUAUUAUACGUAUAUAUUUUAGAUACAUGUAUAUUUUAUUGUGAAUUUUAGGCCGCAUUUUAUGUGCGGCACGAGCCUUAAGAGUAUUGUGUUUUAAAUAUAAUAUUUCUAUUUUAUGGAGUGCAUAGAUUCAUCUUAACGCAAGUCAAUUAUUAUGUGCUAAAAAAUUAAUUUUUCGCCUGAACCACGUUUGCUGCUAAUUAAGCGGUUGAACGCCUCGAAAUAUUUGAGUCAACCCGUGAUUACUCAAAGCAACCGAGAUAAAGCACGCAAAAAAUGCCCCCUUCAUGUCUCCCGCCAUCUCUUUCACCAUCUCUAUUGCCUCCUCUUUCGCUCCUCUUUCAAUGGCCGUGUAAUUAAACUUUGAUUACGGUACUUAGCCGGCGCAGUAAGCGUUUUUUGCAACUUCUAUGCGCGAAAGAGAAGGAGAUCUGCGAGCAGAGAGAGAGAUGGAAAAAGUUCAAUUAGGAGAGGUAGCCCACACGCUUGGGCUAAUGACACUUUCUCAAGAAGAGAGCGAACGAUAAAUGAGAAUUUUACCACCCACUUGAGCACCCUGUCUAACCCAAAAAUGUAUGCUAUGGAAAAGUUUUCAACUGCACUGGGGUUUCACUAGUUAAGAAUUCCUUUCUGUUUCCCCGUAUGCCAUUUUUAAAAAUUCUAUUUGUUUUCUUUAAAUGUGAUAUAAUGAUUUCAGCUCACUAAUAUAUUUUAUGGUUAUUUUUUUAUUGUUUCUUUUUCCCGAGUACAAUUAUGUUUACGACACUUUUAUUCGAUUUCUUAAAGAUUUCUUGCGUUUAGCAUAUGAGGGCAAAAGAUACCAUUUAUCACGAUUUGCUAUGGCCAAAUUGCUCCGUCGCCAUAAAACAUGCAUGGGGCACAUUUUUAGGCACACAAUAUAUACAUUACAUAAACAUGGAUUCUUCGGAUAUCGCAUGCAAUGCGAAAGCCAAAGCUGAUACUGAAACUGAAGCUGUAGCUGUAGCCGAAGCUAAAGUAAGCCCACAAGCCAUAUAAUGUGCCAUAAAUAUUAAAACGUUUUUGACUUUACGCGCUUGCGUCUUUUUUGCCGCGGGCCACAUGGGUGGCUAUGGAAACAGUUCUAUAAGAUGGAAACAGGACACAGAGCUAGGAUAAGGAUGAGAAUGAAGAUGAGGAUGAGGACUCGGGGAUCCUUGCUUUACUUGCUGCCUUGUCGCGCUGUACAACGCUAGCAAAUUAUUUGCAUUUUUUAUAUGGCUCAGCCAGAACCGUCAACAAAAAAAAGGAGAAUAAAAUACUAAAAAAAAAAAUAUCAGCAGCAGCAAUGGCUGAAGAAGGAAAACAGCAGCAGACGGCGCAUAAAAUGUAAAGUGCAAAGGGGCCGCAUCAGAACGGAAAUCGUAUAAAAAAUAUAUAUAAACCGGGCUUUCUUUGCGUAGCAGCUAUCAACGAAGGGCUUUGCGCUGUCACACACCGCGCGGGAAAUUUGCGGCCGGAUAGAGAGGCGGAUAAGACCCUCAAGGGGGCGUGGCAACCGCAAAAUGAGCAAACGACAGGAACCCCAGAGCAAUUGAAAUAAAUAAGUAGUAAUAAAUCGUAUUUAUACUGAAUAAUUUCAAUUGAUUUUCCAUAAACUGAUGGCUACAUUUGGCUUCUUCGGUUACCAGCAUGCGUAUUAAAGAAACUUUUUAUGCACCUUUUCUACAAAUAAAAAUCUAUGUAAAACAAAGAAAUAUAUAUCUUUCAAAAACCUUGCUCGGGUAAUGCCAACUUAGCAGUACAUAAUUAAGUUUUACUUUGCUGUGGGAAAUGCACUGAAAAGAUCACUGAAGCAUACAUGAUAUGCUCUUAGGAAAAUAUGGCCGAAAGCCAUUUUCAAUGCGUGCACAUGAGCUCAUAAUUGGGAGGUCCAACUGGAUCUGAUAUUGAGUUAAAAUGUGGCUUCAAUGGAGAAUACCAAUCUGCAGUUGAAUAUUAUUCAAAAAUCGUUGUACUUGGCUUCCUGUUGCGGCUCCAUCAUCAUAUUUGAGCAGAACUUUUUAAUCAACAUUCUAAACCACCAAAUGUAUCAAAUUUGUUCACCGCACUCUCGGCACUCUCAGCGCUUUCUCUGUUUCUGUGUAUGAUUUGAACUUUUUAAUUAAAUAUAUAAAGUUUGCUAACUUGCAAAAACUGCCUCGCACAAAGUUCGUUUGCCGAAAAUAAUGAAAAUAUUUCACAAUUAGAUGCCUAGCAGGCAGCUAUGGAUGUCGUGAAUAUGUGGAUGCGGCACAAUGAAAACACAGACCACAAGCCAACCAGAAUGGGCCAUUGAGCAUGUGAAUUGCAUUAAGUGGGUGGGCGGCGACUCUUGGCUAAAAUGCGGUCGCCCGAUGAGUGAACGAGAUACAUGCUUUUGGCCAAUUUGGUCUUGGCCUACUUGACUUGCCGUCUACGUUUUGCUUUCCUCCAGCAGCUGUCAUAAUUUCAGCAUCAGUUUCCAUUGCUCGCCGGAAGUGGCAUCCAGCUAAUGAAGAGCAGAAUUCUCUGGCUUCUCCUCUGUGUCCUUAUCACACAUUUCACAUAUGGGGUGUUAAAAAUGCAAAUCCUGCAUGGCCUAAUGCCUCCUGCCUGUUGGCCAACAGCUGCUGCCACAGAUAAUGAAUGCUUCCAACAAUUUUGCAUGCGAAUUAUUGGGUAUUUAAUUAUGGCCUCUUUAAAAUGUCAUUUAUUGUGGCCACUCAAAAGCGGUACUUUGCCUAAGUGCACCAGAAACUUUUAUUGGUUUCAUUUAAUGUUCUUUGUUGUUCUGUUUUUGUCAGUCGGGCAUAUUCACCAAAAGUAAUUACUACUUUUACAAGAUCGACGUUAUUUCACGCCCAACUUGAAAUUUAAGUGGUAGUGCAAAAAUAAGUUCAAAAACAAUAAUGGCACUUUCAUUGUACUUUAUUUUAUGUUAUAUAUAUUUACUUUUAAAAACGCCGAUAAAAUGUCAGAUUAAUUACAAGAUAAGCACACAUCAUUGAAUAAUUUUCAAAUGCAAUUCAAGUGGCUGCAACAUUUAUCCAGAGAUCAAUCUAAUCUGCGAAAAAAUCCCCCUGCUCAACAGCUUGGCUUGCUGAAAGUGUUUCCUUCACUCCGAUACGGCGAUAAAUGCCAGCCAUUGUCAGCCAAAAUCCGAAAUGUGGCAACAGGAGGGUAAACCAGAAUAUUUGACAUUAGAACCCCGUCGCUGCCACCAUCCAAAACUUUUGAUAUUGGCACUCACAUGCAAGUGGCUUGCGUAUGUGUGUGUGUGUGUGUGUGUGUGUGUGUGUGUGUGUGAAGUUUUGGCUCCCUAAUAGAUGCCUCAUCUUGCGCAGUGUACGUGAUAUUUCAGCCAAAUGUCUUACAAAAUGACGCCAUUUUUAGACGGGCUAUGGAAAAAAAAAGAAAAACUAUUUCAACAGCUGCGUUUUGUCAAAAAGUCAAAGUUGCUGGCAGCUGGGAGUGUAGAGCCAUGUGUAUCCAUAAAAUAUACACAAAACCCUAACUAUACCCUCAAUCGCAACAGUGGCGGCAUUUUUAAUUUGCUCUUGUUGAAUUGAUGUGCUGCUGUUGUUUCCGUUUCCGCUGUCAACUCUCUGCCGCUCUUACUAACCCACUUGUUGUUUUUAGUUCGGAACUCGUUUCUUUACUCUGUUCCGAAUGAAUAGCAAUAAAAAAAAAGAAAUGAAAAUGUAUCGUUUACACAGUGAGCACACACACACACACACUGGCACGUGUAUUGUAAAUGCCCAUUGAAAAUGGCGGCGAACGUGAUAACAAAAAUGGCCGCUCGCCCAUUUCCGCUUUGUUUGCUAUGGUUUAGCUUGGUUUGAGCCAAUUUCAGUUUUCAAUUUUUUUCAUUUUUUGAAUGGGGGCAGCAGUGGAGUAACUGUAACUGCCUAACUUUGUUAACAUGUGUAGCAGUUUAUCGUCAGCCAUUGUUUUCGCUCACACUCACCCUUUGGAUUUUCCCGCAUUUUCCUUUUGGACCCCACCCGCAUAGAAAAUGUUUUUGAUGUGCUCACUGAAAUAUGCAAAUAUUUGUGCUUAUCCAUUUUGAAUUCCAUUCCAAUCGCCAUUCCACAUUCCACAUUCUCAUUCCAUUUCAUUUUGUCGGCCAUUCUCCGUUUGAGCUGCUAAUUAAAUGCUGACUUGCCACAAUGCCACAUUUCUCCUUUGUGAUGCAAAUUGGAUUCAUGCUGUGCAACUUCUGACACAAAAUUAUCAACGGCUCUCCCGAAUUGAGCAACAUUUUAGUUUUCAUUUAAUGAGCCAAUUUUGCCAGCUGAAAGGAACAUUUUUUUGUUAGUUCUUCAGCUUGAAAAGCAAUUGUGCGAAAAUAAAAUCGGAAAUAAGGAGCUAGAAAGUUGCUAGGAAAAUGAACGGCAAAAGAGCAAAUCGAAUUUCACAAUGAUGUUUUAAAUAGGUAUUUCUUUGUGUGUGAACUUAUUUUAUUCAAGACACGCUUGAUGCAGGAAAUAAAAAUCACGUUUUAAGACCGAUUUAAAUUAGAAACUUUAUAUUUUCUCAAGAUAUAGAAAGUAAAAUUUAUGUAGAGACAAAAUCGGCCUUGAUUUUGCACUAGAUCUAGUACACUUAGUUCUACUAAUUGCCUAUUAGGCAUUGCUAAUUGCAUUUUCGGGGAUGACAAUUAUAAAUGGCUUUCUGUGAUUCAAAUGGACUUGAAAUUUUAACUUGGCCAUUGGCCGUGUCUCAGUUCUGAAUUAGCCUCUCACCUGCCGCCCAGGCACUUUCGAGAAAAGUGCAAAUGAGCAGAGAACACGAUUUCGAAUGGAAUUAGGAGAUGGCACCUGGAACCAACUCGGUCAUUUGUGCACCAAAUCGACAGUCAUUUAGAAACGAUUUGUUGCGUUAAUUGCUGUCAGUGCUUAAUGCGAUCACUUGAUUGCCUUUAAAUCGAUUUACAUUUUAGCGUUUUGGCGUCAGAAAAACCCGAACUGAUUAUGCAAAUGCAUAUGGAGUAUGUGUAUAUGCAUUUGGGCCGCUGCGCUUCGAGGCCAAAACUUUAAUUGCAACCGGCAGUGAGCUGAACUGGCCUGAAAAGAGGACCCACAGCGUUGCCAUUUAAAUGGGUUCAAGUGAUGGAUAAAUAUAAAUAAAAUGUUGAAAUAAAUUCGCUGCGAAUUUGUGGUUUUGAGGUGCACCCGCCGCCCAUAUGUAAACAUUCACAGAAACUUGGCUCUUUCCCUCUUCGCUCUUUCAGCGGAUGCAAUUAAGCAACUUUAAGCGGCACUCGAAAGUCAUUUUCGUCUGAAUGCAAUCGCAAAACCUCAUUUACCACAGCAAAAUCUUCUGGCUAAUUUUCAUUGAGUUGGUUUCUGUGCCAGCAUUUAAGCCUAAUGUAUUGAAAUAUUUACUUUGAAACACAGUUUACAAUACAAUUUUCAGUGGCUGGAGGCGUUCGGUAAACUCUUUCGGGGAAGUCUAUAAAGUUACACAACAUUCCAAUGUCUGGCACCUGAACUCGACUGCCAUUUGGCGAGCCAAAACAGCGGAAACUAUGAAAAUUCCUGGCGUUCCCGCCCACUCCUCGAAGUAGUAGUUUCCGUGAUUUAUAAACUCCUUAAUGAACAAAAGAAUUAUCGAUUGCUGCGGUGGCAUGAAAAAUUGCCUGCGAUUGGCUAUCCCUCCUUCAAUUCUUCCUUUAUCCAUUGCUUAUUGCCUUUUUACCCUGGUUUUGCCGACUACCUUUUGCGGUACAAUGAGGCGUAUGAGCAAUGCUGUGGUUGGAUACUUACUUUGAUAUAUGCGGUAGCAUUAAAAGGACUCUCCGUUGCUGCUUGUGUGUGUGCGUGUGUGUGUAUGUCUGUGGCUGUCAUAAAAGUUGACAUUUUAUUUAUAUAUUUUGGUUUUAAAAUUGCUGACCCCAAAAACCUUUUUAAUGGCAACUGUGGCUGUCUCCGUCGCUCGUUUCGCCCACUCCACGGCUUUUUAUGCGCUUUUCAUGAGCUUUUCCCCGACUGAGCUCGUGUAUAUGGCAGCGUGGGAGGAAAGGAAAGGAAACAUGGCUUCAAGUGCCUGGUCAUAAGAAGCGUUUAACAAACGAGUGGAUGCGGGAAAAAUGCGACUAUUUUUUAUGUGGUAGCUUGGCAAAUGACAAACAAGUAUAAAGAAUGAGAAAGACAAUAGAAACGCAGUGGCGUAGGUUGAAAAUAUUUUGGUUUAGUGGUUUGUGAUGAGAAAUCACACGAAAGUAGAUAUCUUUAACAGUUACCUCUAAAAUAAAGAUUUAAAAUGAAUAAAAAUAUAUUAUAUUAUAGAAAAUAGAAGUAAUUUCUAAUCAAACCCCUUUCCAUGCCCAUGAGCCAGUUUUGACCACAAGAUGUUUUUUUGGAAGCUUGUCAGGAUUGUCACGCUCCGCAAACGGACUCCAAAGUACAGAAAACUAAGGAGCAAGGAUGAACUAAGCAUUCGCGACAACUCCACAUCUAUCACAUUUAUGUGCAUUUUUGUGGCACUCGGGUUGGCAAUUGACCCGCUUCUGGUUUUCGGUUAGCAGCAGUGGUCAUUUCUCUGGCUCUGGCUUUGGGUUUUGGCUUUGGCUUUGGCUUUGCUUUAGCUGCGGCGAGGGCUCCCUGAAAAGCUUUACACUUUCAUUAUGUUUUAUUGUUUGCUUUUUUAAAGCACUAGUCUCGCACACACACAUACUCAGCAAAUGGCUGCAUGAAAGCCACUUACACAGAUACAGAUUUGCGGGGGCAGCAGCUGCUGCUGCUGUUGUUGUUGUUACUGGUCAUUUGAAAAGGCUUAAAUAUAAUACUUAGGGCCAGGCAUGGCAUUCAAUGUCCUUAGAAGCCAGAAGCAAACCAAAUUGAGCAGGGGGUAAACAAGUAAGCUGGCAGCCCUGCAAAGUGUGUGUGCGGAAAUCAAAGCCUUAAAAGCAUUUUGUGCAAAAAUACAUGAAAAGUGAUUUCAGAGCGGGGCAAAAGGAUGUUAUUUGAAUGGUUUUAGGACUGAGUGUAUGGCUUCCCCGAGGGGCUUUAAAUUCUGUCUCAGAACACCUAUUUCUUUUUUUUUUUUGCGAGCGAAACUGUUAUUUUUUUUUCAAGUCAUUUGCUUGCAAUUCGUAGACUCCACCGUACAAAGUUUUUGCUGAAAAUUGAAGUCGAAUCGUUUGCCAUAAAUCAGAAAUAUUCAUACAGUUCUGCCUUCGCUCCCUCUCUUUCUCGCGCUCUAUUUGGCUCUCCCUCUGUGGGAGCAUUACUUUCAUGUGUUUUGGCUUUUUACGUGCAUUUCUCCUUCUGCGAGCAUUAAAAUUGAUUUAUGUCGCCGGCAAGCGUCGAAAAACUAAAAUUAUGAAAGCAACCGAGAGCAGGGCUUUUCAUGCUGAGUUAUGUUUGAGUGCGGGUGACUACUAAAAUGUUACAAAAUGCUCGGCCAUAGAUGCUCAUGCUGCAAUCAAAUAUAUCACGAGUGGAAAGCAGGAGAGUCGAGCAUUGCCAAAAACUGGAAUAUAAAAGCAAAAAAUCGAACCGUUUUAUGUGUCAAUUUAGCCAGGAUUCUUAAAGACCCAGCAUAUUGUUUUUUGCUUUCAAAAUCUAUGUAUUCAAUUAUUUAAAACCUGCUUCAUUAAACGUUGACUUAUCGUUGACUUUACGUUACUCACUUAACUCUUAGUUGUUUUCCAUAGCUCCCACUCACUUACCUCGCCUUCUUCUUAUUUUCCAAGCCCACGAGCUACUGCGACGCCUGAAAGUAUGCAGCGUUUCCUAUCCUCCUUCGUUGGCUUCUGGUAUCUCAACUUUUAUUCCGCUGCAUCAACAUUUGUCAUGUUAUUGUGGAAAUUAUUGUUGUCUGCUUUUAUUGUUUGACUUCUGUCUGCCGACCCAGACAUGCCACGCCUACCCAAGGAGCCUCAGGCUGAAUUUUGUUUAAGUUGUUUCCCUUUGUUUUUGCAUUUUUAAUUAUAAAUGCCUGGCAGGGUUUGGCUUGCGUCGCGUUCUCUUGUUUUAUUUGCCCGUUUUCGAGCUUUUUGUUCUCGUUUCAAGAGUUUUUCUUGAAGGUGUGUGUUGUCCUUUUCUUUACUUUCGGGGUGCCUGUUUAUUAGCCACGUCGUGCGGACAAUUUUAAACCCUUUGGCCGUGUCGGUUUUGGCUCUCUUUUCUCAGCCCUAAGCCGCUUUGCAGCUGCUUGUGUUUCACCUUUUGAUGUUGGACGCUUGAAACUUAGCUUUGCAUUGCAAAGUUUUCUCUGGCAGCUGGGAAAAAAGGGUUAAAAACUUCCGUAUAAUUGACAAAUGCUAAAUAGGAAGUCUGACAAGUGCUGGACGCUUUGCUGCCAAUUGUUUAUUUCAAUAUUUAACCAAACACUGUGGAGCUUAUUGGGGUGCUUCUAUAAGGAAAAAUGCAGGGGAUUAUGGUAAAAAGUAAGUGAACUCUUGAAAUAUGCAAAGGGGUCAGUUCGGAAAUAUUCAUGGUGCUGCAGGGCGUAUGCGUGUUGUGCUGCCGGUCUGUCUUACAGGCAAUUUCAAUUAUGAAAAUGCGAUUAAACCGAAAACAAGUUGUAAGCCCAGGACAUACCGCACAGCAUGUGCAGCAACUUUGUCCUGCUAACUUGAUUAUGUACUCAAUUGCCUGGUAAAGUCCUUUUCCGCUCCUUCUUCUCGAGAGUCGUAAAAUGUUUUCAAUUAUAAAAAGCUUUUAGGUAAAUCAGACCUGAAAUGUGUUUCAAUUGUCUUGCAUUUUGUGAGCGUACAAUUCAAUUUGUGCGUAGGGGGAAACACAAAAGCAGUGAAACACAAAAAACAGGAAUCGAACUCAAAUCGAAGUAGUAAGCAGAAAAAAAAGAAAGGAAAUGAAUUAAAUCGAUUUGAAAAAAAUGUAGCAGUGUUUCUAUUUCUCUGUUUUUCAUCUCGACAAUUUAUUGUUUUCUUCUACACAGUACUGCUACUUCAAGCGGAAAUAGAAAAGAUCUGUGUGGACAAAAACUAGAAAGGAAGCAAAAAUGAGAAACUCAUCGUGGCUUAGAUUUUCUUUUGCCCCUGGCAUCGAAAGUGCUUCCGUUUUAGGCACUCUGGUAAUCGAGUAUGCAGGCGAUUCCUCUUUCAAUCGAGAUUAGAUUGCGAAUCCUUGUUGUCAUCGUCAGUUACCUUUGGCUCACUUAAUUUGCAACUUAAACAGUGUGAGAUAAAGGCAAAGGUUCCAGGAAAAUGUUCCAUGCUAAUGAUUACUCAAAAAGUAUUUUCCACUUUAUUUUCUUUUCUCGUUUUUGUUGUCUUCAUUUUGCUUUGUGUUCAAGUUUUUUGCUGCUUCGAAAGUGUUUGGUUAACGAAACGCAACUCAAAGGAAGCAAAAUCCUAAAAAUACUGGAAAGCAAAAAAUCCAUAUUAUUAAUAAUGAAAUAACCUAAAUUAUUUUCCCAAUAAAUAUUGAAGAAACUCGUUUAAUAUAAAACAUCAUUUAAUAGAAAACAUAACAACAACCAAAAUAACUCAUUAAAUUUCAAUAUAAAGUUGAAACAAAAAAGAGUUACUGAACAAAUAUAAAAUAUUUUGUUGUUUCAUAAAGCUUUUCGCCAGCUGAAAACAUUUGCCUCUUGUGGCUCGGAAACUUAUUCCUUGGCAAUGCAGAUUUGAUUGCUCGGCGGAAAGUUUUGGUUCAUGAAAUGGUUCGCUCACCUGGCGCUUAAAUAUUCAAUUGUCUCUGAAUGUUUAACUGUUUGAAAAUGCUAUUUAUUUUAUGCCUUGUUAUGCAAUCAAAAUGUUUGCACUUGCUGCUGGAAAAGCAGCGCAAUGUGCGCGCCUACGAGCACGUGAAAAGCGCAAACGUAGCAGAAAUUAAUGAGAAAUUAUACGCGGCACUUCAGAGCGUGGCAAAUAAAAGGGCAGCUGUGGGUAGGAUAACACUUGAAAUUGUGUAAAAGUGAAAAGGGAAAACUUUUGAACAGAAAACUGAAAAUAAACUGAAUAGACUGCACUUUGCAGCCGAAAAACUCGACAUAGUAAGGAAACUGGAUACAGCCAAUGCAAAAGCUGAUAGCUUUUUGUGGUGUGGUGGCGGUGGCGGUGGCGGUGCCGGUGCCGAAAGGUUUCGAGUGAACUUAAGUUAGUUACCUUAGCUGAACUACUCCUCUCAAGUUUUGUAUUAAAAAACUUUCUCUCUUCUCUACUUGCAGGUAAAUGACGUAAAUUUUUAAUUACUGGCAAAACUUGUCAUCAUCCCCAUCACGGUCGUCGUCUUCGUAGUCGUCAUAGUCGUAGUCGUAGUCGUCGACUCCAAAAGUUUUUCAUCAUUCAGUUGGCUGUCAAGUGUCAAGUGUGUUCCAAACGGGCUCUCAGGUUCGAGCCAACUGAACUGAACUGCAGCUAACAAAUAGCAAGCACAAUGCAAUUUGCCAUGGGCUGCAGGUUAUGGCAGAGCCACAAAUCUUCGGACAGACUGACUGGCAGGAUGAAUGGGUUGACUGACUGUUGCCAGUAGCAGGACCAGUUGCUCUUGGCAGCAAUAAUCAAAACUUGGGCAAUCAUGAAAGCGAAAUUUGCGAUGCGCUCGAAUGAUAGAAAUUUGGAAUUUGUGCAGUCGCAAAAAUAGGGAUUAAUUUGUUAGCAUUGACGCUUUGAAGCCACUCAAAUGGUUAGGUAUGCAAUGAAAACUAUAUUAUUACUUAAUUUGCAAAGUCUGGCGACGCUUGUGGUACCCCUGAUUUACAUUUUGAUUUUAAAUGUUUUGCAUCACCAGUAAAUGUGUAACUUCUGUUUUUUUAAGUGGCAUUACGGGUCAGCAGCGUUUAUCGGCGGAUGGAUAUGCAUUUGACCAUUCAUUCAGCACGGAAUGAGGAAUUUCUGCAUCAAAUUAGCAUGUUCUUUUCGGCUGGCUAUCUCUCUUCUCUCUCUCUCUCUCUCUCUCUCUCUCUCGCUCACUCUAUCUCCGGGUGGAGGAAAACCCCGAAAGGAAACGGAAAUGGAAAUUUUUACUUGGCAGGCGAAAUUAUCAUGGGAACCAACGCCAACCAGCUGAAAAGGAAGUUUGUUCUCCUGCAGCAAGGAAGGGAAAAAAGGGAGAGCGGGAAAGAAAGAGAAGCGGAUGGCAAACGGAAGAUGUAAUUAGGGGAAAAGCAAAAUGGGAAAAUAAUUAACACUCGGGCAUAAUUAAUUGCACGCCACACAAAUGACAAGUAUCUCGGGAUUCCAGCUCGAGCGGAAAAUACAGAAUUGGCUGGAGAGUGGAAGAGAGAGCGACGCCAAGACCGAAACAAUUCGAAAGUGCAUCCCGGCCACAAUUAAUUUGAUUUCAGAUGUUGCAGGGAUUCAUUUGGUUUUCUAAUCACAUUACGUGCACGAAAUUGAUCCCAUCUAAUGGAAGAAAGGCAACCCAAAAGUGUGGCGAACUAUAUAGUAGAUUCAGCAGAUUGAAUUGAACUCUGAACAAACUGUUGCCAUCUCUCCAGUUGUGUUUGAUGUUCGCACUUCAGCGAAUCCCUAGAACCAGCUCUUUGCGAACGAAUCAAAAGUACUGGGCAACAUUCCAAGCAUAUUUCUGGCUUGGCAUUGUUGUGAUAGAGCCGGCUAAAUGAGGGCUCUACAGAAGUGGUAGCCAUGCAAACCAUUUAGAGUGUUGUUUCCUGGCAUUUGGCCCACAUUUCGUUGAAUUGCUGCCAAGCGAAAAGAUUUCUUCAUAAAUAGAUUUCUCAUAAAUCAACAUUUCACUGCAUGCAUUGCUGCAAUUCCAAGUCAAAAGUUUUAAUUGCCCAAAUUCGAGCGGCGCCCAAAUGCGCGCUAUAAAUUAAACAUUUUCCUUCAACAGUUAAAGUUUACUUUGCCGACUAUCCACUUAAACCAUAAGGAAAACAUUUAUUCUCUGUAUGGUGUUUUGUUCACUGGCGCCUGUCUAUGGAGUUGUUUUUUAAUUAAGAAUACAAACACACGCCGGGAUGUACAUACAACGGCGAAAGGGGGCGGGUCGGGUAUUUUGAUUAUUUUCGUAUUGUCAUUCGUUGUUUGCUGUGGGAAUUUCAAUCAGGGAAAGUACAAAAAUAAAUGGGAGGAAGUUGUGACAGAACUGUUCUUCCGGCGAAUAAACUCUUUAAGUUAUGGCUAAUAUAUUCAUUUCACUUUUAAACUGCAAAACAUAUUUGUUCAAAAGAUUACAAAAUGUACUAUAAAUCUUAUCAUUUUUCGUCGAAUACUUUUGUAUUUCAAGAGAAUAAAGUGAAAUAACGAAUUCGACUUAACUUAUAGUGUUAAACCAUUAAGCUGCAUUUACACCCUUCGUUGGCCUGAACAACAAUUAUAUAGGGUGGCAUCGUUUAAGUGGCUUUCACGAUGUAUCCCUCCAUUUGACAUACAAAUAUUGCUGCGAAUGCGAUCGAUUCAAUAUUCCAGCGAAAAUAUCCGAUGGCAAGUGUAUUGACUGCUGCUUAUUCCUCAACGAAAGCCAUUUUCCAUGGGCCUUUUUAAUGGUCAUGUUCCAGGCAUUCGGCGUUACAAUUAUGUAUGUAAGUGGAAUUAAUGCAGAGUGUGCUGCGGGUUGCGAAGCGAAUGGGAGCGUGUUAAAUUAAUGCCCAUAAAUUGGCCAAUAAAUAGCGAGUGGGAAAUGUUUUUUAAGAUGUGUAUAAUUUAUUAAUCUAUUAAAUGGAACUUCCUUGCUCGGGGCUUACCUUUAAUGGGUGGCAGCACGAGACAAGCAUGUUCAACGGGCGAAUCUUUUUGUUAAUUAAAGGAAAGCUGCAACCUUUUCAUAGCACAGAAUGUCUUUCAAUUAUUUGUAGUUUAAUAACUGCAACACCCUAUCCUUUGUGUUGGAAAAACUUUGCACAAAGGACUAAAAACCUUAAUUUUUGCAUAUAAAAAAAACUCUAUUCAAAAUUACUAAAAGUCUGCAAAACAACAAGGUGAAACAAAUUGGUAAAUGUUUUCGAGCAAAAAGCAAUAUACGCAUAUACGCACACACACGCACACACAACACAUGCGAUCAUGUAACCCAAUAUACACUGGAUGACAUUUUGCGGGGCACUAGAAAUAAAAUAACAAAAACUUGCAUAAUUUGUGCUGUUGGACCACAUAGAGAAAAACAGCAAAAACUGACGAGAAAAUUUGUGUGCUGCAGACAGCUGAAAAACUAAACUUUCGAUGCAACGAGGGUAGAGGUCGGAAAAGUGGAAUUGUUGAAAAUGGGAAAUGCGAAGGCGGAAGGCGGGUGGAAAUGGAGAGAGUGAAGGCCAGGCAAGGUCCAAUAGCUUUUGUGAGUGUGUUCUGGCAUUUUAUUACAAAAGUUUACACGACUCUGUUGCCCCUGUUGAUGCUGCUGCUGUUUAUUUUUGUGGCUAGCUGAUUUUGUCAUUUUAUAAGCUUUUUAGUCGUAGUCGUUUCCUGCCAAGCUAUUAAAGGUUGAAGACACUUCAGAGGUGAUAAACUGGCCUUUCCAAUGUCAAACAUCAGUUUAGCAACAUAGUUCAACUGGCAUACUCAUGUUAUUUAACCCAACAUAUAUCUUAAAAAUCUUGUCAAAAGCGCCAUUCUUGUGUUAAUUUUUUAUUGAAGAUGUCAGGGUGUUAUAUCGAUAGAUGUAUCUAACCUACACUUUUUGUUUAAUUUAAUAUCAAUUUGUUUGUAUAUGCAUUUAGACUUAAGCUUCUCAGUCACAGUUGUUUGACACCACUUGACCAAAAGCCACAUAACUAUGGACAUUUUCUGCACUAAGUUUCUUAGCCAAGAACUAAACAAGCUUCGACUGAAACUGGAGAACUGAAGCUGAUGAAACCACGUAGCGACAAGCAAAAUGCAUUAGAGCUCAGCUAAACUGGGGGUAGCAAAAAAAUUGAAAAACUAUGCCAACUAAAAUUGAGUUAAAGCGAAAAAGUUACCAACUCUUCCCCUUGCACCCCCUCCAUCUUCCCACUUUCCCUAGUUCUUCAUGCUCUUCUUCUUUUGGCCACGCUGUCGCGGCUUCAGUUGACCACGAGUAAUGCAUUACAACAAUGCUCGGAUGGGACAUGUUGGGGUUCGGUGUGGUGGCUCCUAGUCGUCCUUUGCCCAAUGUAAUUAAGCAACUUACAAGCAGUAAACACACAGAUACACACUCGCACACACACAUGCAUGAAUGCACACAUACAUGGGCAAACAUUAUUAGCCAGGAAGACAGGAGGGCAGGCAGGAAUGGGCAUACAGCACAUACAAUAUUUAAUAUGCGAUUUCUGACACCAUUCACACGCGGCAGCAAAACCCAUAAAAUGCUGAACGUUAUAAAAGAACGACGGCCAUUUAUUUGACUUACGCAAAUGCGUGUAUAUAUACAUAUAUGUAUGUAUUUCUGUGAGUGUGUGGGUCGGGUCAAAUAAAUGACAGCCCAUAAGGCACUGUCUUUACACAAAAGAUACACUCUCCACAAAAAGAUACACUUUUAUAUAUGCACACUCGCAUGAUAUUUUCAUAAUUGCAAAAACAUUAAAAACGUGUUGCAAAUAUUGCGAAUUUAUUGUGCUUAUUUACAUACUUUGCUGUCAAAUAUUUUCUUUAAAAGCAUGUUGAGAUGUUGUUUGCUUUGGUGAUUAAAUAUAAAUAGAAAAUCGAAAUAUAACUAUAAUAAGUUUUGAUUUAUAAUAUAAACUGUAAACAGAUUUAAAUAUUGUGAUUUGUGUUUAUUUGUUUUAUGGCAAUAUUUGAACAAGAGAAUUAUUUUUUAGCUAGUACUUUGGCACAUUUGCCCAUUAACGAACGCGAAUCGACAUUUCAUGUUACAAUUCUUUGGCACUGCGGUCUGUGGCCAGUUGGAAACAGAAAUGACCAUGGCGUGGCCAAGUGUCAUUAAUGAGCGAGACUUUUUCGAUGUUAAUUUGCAGGAAAAACUAACAGAUUCGAAUCAAUAAUUACAUCAAUUCCGGCAAAGGCAAGCAUCGCUGUGCAUUUUAUAAUUGGCUCUUCAGACGGAAAAACGGCCGAAUUGCGGCCGAUGGUCAGCCAGUACUGCUGAGUACCGGAGGGGCCUGCCCAACUGCACUGAUCGAUAAUCAGACUAAUGUGGUUUCGACGGUCUGGUUCUCAUCUGUGGUGGACUGGCUUUCAACUGCUGCUGGUGGCGCACGUGUGAUUGAUGCCAGUCACGGAGAAAGUGUAUUGCUAAAAGUCAAACUGAAUCUACUGCCAGUGCCUCGGUUUUCUCCAGCAUUCAGCUGAAAGCUGCACAGCAACGCGAGUACAGGAAAUGUUCAGGCAUCUGGCAUCAGCAACUACAACGACACUUUUCUCGUUUUCAGCCAUUUUGCGGUGAUUUUUAGCUCGUUUAUCUUGCAACCGAAGGAUCUCCGGACUGGGUACAACUAUACAAUAAUGCCGCAACGGCAUUGCCAAUGACUGCCGGCAACUGAAAUCUGGUCCUCGCGGCGCGGAACACAUGAAAUUUACGUGAUGCUCCUAAACGUCAAAUAUUUUGUCAUCCCAGUCGAGCUGCUCCUUGCUCCUGGCUCCUUGCUCCAUGGAAAGCUGACAUUUUGAUGAAUGGCGGAAGAUUGAAAAAUGCAAAUAACUAAAGAAAUAACUGCGGAAGAUAUUGAAAGCGGUGUUGCUUGUGCGUUUGGCAGGAA